UACGUAGGGGCAAGCGUUGUCCGGAAUCAUUGGGCGUAAGAGCGUGUAGCGGCCCGAUAAGUCCGCUGUGAAAGUCCAGGGCUCAACCCUGGAAUGCCGGUGGAUACUGUCGGGCUCGAAUCCGGAAGAGGUGAGUGGAAUCCUGGUGUAGCGGUGAAAUGACGUAGAUAUCGGAAGGAACACCAGUGGCGAAAGCGGCUUCCUG
rnacentral:rRNA from 1 species